rnacentral:rRNA from 1 species
GACGAACGCUGGCGGCGUGCCUAACACAUGCAAGUCGAACGGAACUGUUUUGAAAGAUUUCUUCGGAAUGAAUUUGAUUUAGUUUAGUGGCGGACGGGUGAGUAACGCGUGAGUAACCUGCCUUCAAGAGGGGGAUAACAUUCUGAAAAGAAUGCUAAUACCGCAUGACAUAUCGGAACCACAUGGUUUUGAUAUCAAAGAUUUUAUCGCUUGAAGAUGGACUCGCGUCCGAUUAGUUAGUUGGUGAGGUAACGGCUCACCAAGACCGCGAUCGGUAGCCGGACUGAGAGGUUGAACGGCCACAUUGGGACUGAGACACGGCCCAGACUCCUACGGGAGGCAGCAGUGGGGGAUAUUGCGCAAUGGGGGCAACCCCGACGCAGCAACGCCGCGUGAAGGAUGAAGGUUUUCGGAUUGUAAACUUCUUUUAUUAAGGACGAAAAAUGACGGUACUUAAUGAAUAAGCUCCGGCUAACUACGUGCCAGCAGCCGCGGUAAUACGUAGGGAGCAAGCGUUGUCCGGAUUUACUGGGUGUAAAGGGUGCGUAGGCGGCUUUGCAAGUCAGAUGUGAAAUCUAUGGGCUCAACCCAUAAACUGCAUUUGAAACUGUAGAGCUUGAGUGAAGUAGAGGCAGGCGGAAUUCCCCGUGUAGCGGUGAAAUGCGUAGAGAUGGGGAGGAACACCAGUGGCGAAGGCGGCCUGCUGGGCUUUAACUGACGUUGAGGCACGAAAGCGUGGGUAGCAAACAGA